rnacentral:rRNA from 2 species
CAGAGGCGAUGAAGGGCGUGCUAAUCUGCGAUAAGCGCCGGUAAGGUGAUAUGAACCGUUAUAACCGGCGAUACCCGAAUGGGGAAACCCAGUGUGAUUCGUCACACUAUCAUUAACUGAAUCCAUAGGUUAAUGAGGCGAACCGGGGGAACUGAAACAUCUAAGUACCCCGAGGAAAAGAAAUCAACCGAGAUUCCCCCAGUAGCGGCGAGCGAACGGGGAGGAGCCCAGAGCCUGAAUCAGCAUGUGUGUUAGUGGAAGCGUCUGGAAAGGCGCGCGAUACAGGGUGACAGCCCCGUACACAAAAGCGCAUGUGCUGUGAGCUCGAUGAGUAGGGCGGGACACGUGGUAUCCUGUCUGAAUAUGGGGGGACCAUCCUCCAAGGCUAAAUACUCCUGACUGACCGAUAGUGAACCAGUACCGUGAGGGAAAGGCGAAAAGAACCCCGGCGAGGGGAGUGAAAAAGAACCUGAAACCGU